rnacentral:rRNA from 1 species
CCUACGGGACGCAGCAGUGAGGAAUAUUGGUCAAUGGGCGUAAGCCUGAACCAGCCAAGUCGCGUGCGGGAUGAAGGUUCUAUGGAUCGUAAACCUCUUUUAUAAGGGAAUAAAGUGUGGGACGUGUCCUGUUUUGUAUGUACCUUAUGAAUAAGGAUCGGCUAACUCCGUGCCAGCAGCCGCGGUAAUACGGAGGAUCCGAGCGUUAUCCGGAUUUAUUGGGUUUAAAGGGUGCGUAGGCGGCCUUUUAAGUCAGCGGUGAAAGUCUGUGGCUCAACCAUAGAAUUGCCGUUGAAACUGGGAGGCUUGAGUAUGCUUGAGGCAGGCGGAAUGCGUGGUGUAGCGGUGAAAUGCUUGGAUAUCACGCAGAACCCCGAUUGCGAAGGCAGCCUGCCAAGCCAUGACUGACGCUGAUGCACGAAAGCGUGGGGAUCAAACAGGAUUAGAUACCCCUGUAGUC